UUUUCGUAGACGACAUCUAGCGUCAACUAACGGAUUUAUCAGUACUGCUACUUAACAAUAGAUGUCGCGACGAACAUAUCAACGUCUUAUCUAAGAAGAGACUUGUAAAUUUUUGAGAAAUACACUUUUUGUCAGUCGCGACACUAGUGACAUCUAGUGUCAAGUUGCGGUACUGAUAAAUCCGCUACUUGACGCUAGAUGUCCACUACGAAAAUAAGAAGCGUUUUGGUAACAAAACUGAUGUACGGAGUGAGCACUCUAUUAUGCUUACUUAUUUCUCUAUGGCAGAAGUAACCUGUUUUUUAGGUUGGAUUAUACAAUUUAUUUGUUAACGACCGUACGGCCGCGUAAAGAAAGGUUGCCGAAAAGUACAUACUUAUAAGUUAAGACUCCAUAAUAUAUUGAAGACAAUGUAAUUUUUUCUUAAGCUACAUUACUAAUGUAACAAUAGCUCUUUGUGCAACAAGAGAGGAAAGUUGGUUUUUCUUGCGAGUGUUUAUUUUGAGUCCCGAGAAAGCGAAAGAUUCUAAGUUAGGAUCUUGAGCGUAGCGAGGGACUCAAAAACACGAGAUGUAAAAUAACUUUGCUCUCGUGUUGCACACAUAAUUUUUCACCUCAGUAAUAGUGAGAACAUAUUAAAGGUUAAAAUGUAUUUCAAAUUACACAGAAUAAUUAAAAAAAAAAUGUCAUCAAAGUAUGAAGUGGCAGUUCAUGGCCUGCACUAAAUUAAAAAGCUACUUUGUUUCACUCCCUGGAUUGAGGAAAGUCGCACUUUCUUCACUCCCUGGAGUGACGAAAGUAGGCUUGUUCGAGCUGCUGAGGUGAAAAAGCAAUUGUUCCCCUUUCCUCUUAACAUGUGUUAUCGCUUUAACCGAUUCUGAAUGCUAAAAGGAGUUAUUUUUCCAUGUGCCUAUAAAGUAAGACUGGAUAUAAUUUGUAGAUUAGAUAGCCACAAUAUAAUUCUUAGUUAGUUCUUUUGACAAUAAUGUCGUCUUGUAUGGGGCACACGAACCUCGCCGCCACCAUACAAUCGCGCUCUUAUUUCGAGUCCCCGGCAAGUUCGGCCGAAUUUCACCUUCCCAUGCAAACGGUCGAGUUUCGUUCUCAAUUUUAAAACUACGUGUUGGAUUGUAAUUAAACUGCACGUACAAUGACAUGAAGUAUAUCUAGGUCUGUAAUUAGUUUAUAUAGCUCUAGUAUAUGAAACAAACAGAAUAGAGCAAAAACAAGUUUUGUGUGAAAAACUUAAAUUCGCUGUGUUUUGUAUUGUAUUGUAUCUGAAGCUACAUAAACUAAUUACAGAGCUAGAUAUACCUUAUCCUAUUGUAAGUACAAAGUUUCAGAGCAAUCUAGCUAGUCGUUUUAAAAUGAGAGCGUAACUACGUUUGUAUUGAGAACCGAGCUUGCCGGGUACUCUUAAAAAGACAUUCUGAAAUAACAUAUAUAACAUGAACAUUCAAGUAACAUAUACGUAUAUAUAAUAAACUAAUAAGUUUUCGUUAGAAACGAGUAGAAGUUUAACUUAAAAAAAAAUCUACUCGCUAUUUAUCAGUACGGCUUUUACUCACUAUUUUUUUUUUGUCGCUUUUGGCGACAUGUUUCGGAUUCUUUGGGAAUCCUUCCUCAAGCACGAGUGUCCGCGGCGGUUGUGCGUCAUAACCGUACUGAUAAAUAUUUUGAAAUAUGUCUCACGAUAGUUUAAGUGCGAUGAUUUUCGCUCUAUUUUCUUUGUUUAACAAUUUUUAGCAACGAAAACUAGUACCACGCAUAGAAUAUAUGUCGUAAAUGUUUAUGCCAAGUUUGACGUAAUUUAGGCAUAUCGUAUUUAAAUGAGAGCGUAUAAUGGGAUUGUAUGGGAGUGCCUUUUUGGCGGCGGGUUCCUGUGACUUAAUAUGUUACAAUACCUAGAAGCAAUUAAUAAAUAGGAUAGGAAACAGUGGCUCGGAAAAAAAUAGCCGGGUACAGUGGCUCACUCAACCUAAUUCCAACAUGAUAGAGAAGAUAUUGGGGUGACUGAGCCACUAUUCGAGCUGAGCCACUGUUUCCUACCCUACUGUAAUCGGUAUAAUUUGUGCGACUGUACCUUAUGAAACGUACCUAAUAUAAUUUAUGAUUAUUAAAUAA